ensembl:lncRNA
UGAGAGUUCUGUGGAGGCCUUCAUAUCGAAAUGCAUGGUUUAUUUGUAAGACAGUUGAGGGAACGAGUGGACAGGGAGGACAUCAAACUCAGACAAAUACAUUCUUCAUUAGCCAAGAGAAAACAGUGGAAAAAAUGAGAGAGGAUGAAGUGGAUGCCGCCGCCCUGAUCAUAUCCUUCCUUCUCUAUAUUAAUUAUUUCAUUAAUAUAGUGUGUGAUUAUUAAUUAAGUUAUUGAUCAGUAUUUAACCACUUGGUUUGAUGCAAGAGUGGAAUGCGUAACAGUAAGCCUUUACAGGGCUGAGUCUAUUUCCUUCCCAGGUCACAGGGCCAUGUCAAAGAGGUCAGGACGACCUCCCAUCUAUGUGAGACACGAGAGAUUGGACAACAGACUGUGAUAUUAAUGUAUCUGCUUGAUAUUAAGAAAUCCUGUUUUAGCCUGUAUUUCUACUCUCUAAGAUGAGACUUGCAUAGUGUGUGUGUAACAAACCAUACUGAUAAUUUCUAGCUAGGGCUAGGCAGCCUUGAAGUUCUGAUAAGUUCUCUGCGUAUGUGUGUUAGUAUCUGUCUGUACAGGGAGAAGCUCAGACAGUCCCAGGACAAACGUUCAACUGCCGAUGUUCAGCGUAUCAGAUAUACGUCUUUGAAG